AUCCUUUCGUACUAAGCUGAAAAUUAUAUAUCAGAAGAUAGAAACCAACCUGGCUUACGCCGGUCUGAACUCAGAUCGUGUAAAAUAUUAUAGGUCGAACAGACCUUAAAGCAGAACUGCUGCACCCUGCCUAAAUUUUAGUCCAACAUCGAGGUCGCAAACCUUUUCGUCGAUUAGAACUCUUAGAAAAGAUUACGCUGUUAUCCCUAAGGUAAUUUUUCCUUUUGAUCUCUUUUAGAGGAUCAAGCUUCUUUUAUUAAAAUUUAAAAAAUAAAGAGUUUUUUUUAUCUUAAUGUCGCCCCAACAAAAUAUUCUUAAAAUUUAUUCUACAAAAAACUAAUAAGAAAAAUUUUAUUAAAUAUAAACUCUAUAGGGUCUUCUCGUCUUUCUGAAAAUUUUAGCUUUUCACUAAAAAAUUAAAUUCAAUUUUUAUAAUAAAAAAAGUCAAUUUCUCGUUUAGCCAUUCAUACCAGUCUCCAAUU
rnacentral:rRNA from 1 species